GAUGAACGCUGGCGGCGUGCCUAAUACAUGCAAGUCGAGCGAACGGACGAGAAGCUUGCUUCUCUGAUGUUAGCGGCGGACGGGUGAGUAACACGUGGAUAACCUACCUAUAAGACUGGGAUAACUUCGGGAAACCGGAGCUAUACCGGAUAAUAUUUUGAACCGCAUGGUUCAAAAGUGAAAGACGGUCUUGCUGUCACGUAUAGAUGGAUCCGCGCUGCAUUAGCUAGUUGGUAAGGUAACGGCUUACCAAGGCAACGAUGCAUAGCCGACCUGAGAGGGUGAUCGGCCACACUGGAACUGAGACACGGUCCAGACUCCUACGGGAGGCAGCAGUAGGGAAUCUUCCGCAAUGGGCGAAAGCCUGACGGAGCAACGCCGCGUGAGUGAUGAAGGUCUUCGGAUCGUAAAACUCUGUUAUUAGGGAAGAACAUAUGUGUAAGUAACUGUGCACAUCUUGACGGUACCUAAUCAGAAAGCCACGGCUAACUACGUG
rnacentral:rRNA from 1 species